AAAAUCUCUAGCCAUAGCCGGGUGGGAAAAUUCACGGUUUCACGUGUGUCUCUUUUCAGUAAGGAUAGUCCGACUCUCUUCGCGAUGGGCAGAAAGCGUCAAAGGAAAAAGCAAGGGAAGGCACCAAGGGCAGAAAAACCUCAAAAGGUUAACGAGAAUGGUGGGCCUCCUUUGUACACCGAGAUUGAAAGGAGCAACGAAGCAUUUGAGAAAUACUACAAGGCACAGAAUAUAGUACCUGAAAAAGAAUGGGAUGACUUCAUGGCUGCACUGCGACGUGGACUGCCCGUGGCAUUCAGAAUUACAGGAUUUCUUCCGGAAUCUAAACACUUGCUGAACAUAAUCAAAAGUCAGUACUUUGCAGAGCUUUUAAACGUUGGCGGAGAUGAAGAAAAGGCUGGGAAGCCAUCUAACCUCACGUGGUAUCCAAAUGAACUGGCAUGGCAGCUUGAUUUGUCUCGCAUCAUGAUACGGAAAUCUGAGGCUUAUGCACGACUCCACAGUUUCCUGAUAUCAGAAACAGACACAGGUAACAUUACACGACAAGAAGCAGUAAGCAUGAUUCCGCCUCUUCUACUUGACAUCCAACCCCACCACAAGGUUUUGGACAUGUGUGCUGCUCCUGGCUCCAAAACAGCUCAGGUGAUGGAGAUGCUACAUGGGCACGUGAACACAAUCCCUGAAGGAGUUGUGGUGGCCAAUGAUGUGGAUAACAAGCGCUGCUACAUGCUGGUGCAUCAAGCUAAGCGGCUCCACUCCACCUGCUGCCUUGUUACUAACCAUGAUGCAGCUGCCAUGCCGAACAUGUAUCUUUCUAAGGAGGAUGGAACCCAAGAGGUCUUGAAAUAUGACAGAAUUCUCUGUGAUGUUCCUUGCACUGGAGAUGGGACUUUAAGAAAAAAUAUUGACCUGUGGAGGAAAUGGAAUGUGGCUAAUGGAAACAGCAUUCAUGGCUUGCAGGUGCGCAUAGCACGCCGUGGCCUUGAGCUUUUGGUUGAAGGAGGUAUAAUGGUAUACUCAACAUGUUCCAUGAACCCCUUGGAGAAUGAAGCUGUGAUUUCAAGCCUUUUGCUCCAAUGUGAAGGAACGGUAGAGCUAGUUGAUGCCAGGAGCAGUUUGCCAGGCUUAGUGAGUAGCCCGGGCCUUUGUACAUGGAAAGUUUCCAGCAAAGAUAUGGCAGUUUACUCUUCAUUUGAUGAAGUACCAGAGAAAUACCAUACACAGAUCAGGGCACACAUGUUCCCUCCACCAUCAGACGUGGCUACGCAACUGAAAUUGGAGCGCUGUAUAAGAAUUCUUCCUCACCAACAAGACACAGGUGCAUUCUUUGUUGCUGUACUAAAGAAAAUUGCACCAAAGCUGCCAUGGGAAUCACAACGCAAAGACAAAGGCGUGGGAGAUGUUCCUGUUGAUCAUGAAGAAAAAGAGGAUACUAAAGAGGACAAAAGUGCAGCUCCAAGAAAGAAACGAAGAAUCCGGGGUUACAAGGAAGAUCCUUUUGUGUUCCUUUCAGAAGAUGACAAGAUUUGGAAAACCGUACGAGAUUUCUAUGAAGUGGACCCAACUUUUCCAAACCAGCAGCUGUUGGGCCGGUGUCAACAGGAGAGUAAACGCAACAUCUACCUUGUGUCUAAGACCGUGAGGAACAUAAUCGAAUUGAACAGUGAAAGAAUAAAGGUCAUCAACACAGGUGUCCGGGUUUUUUGCCGUUGUGAAGGCAAAGAAGAGUUGGCAUGUGACUUUAGGGUUUGUCAGGAGGGUCUUCCUACAGUGUUGCCUUACUUGAACAAGAGGAAGCUGACUAUGAGCAGGCAAGACCUUUAUGUGCUGCUUACAGAAGAAUAUCCACUUGAGUCCCAGUUUUCACCUGAACUUCAGGAGCAGCUGAAAGGCCUUGAAAAGGGAUGUGUGCUGCUUGUCUACACCUCAUUUCCAGGGACUGCAGAUGAAUUCGAGUUAGUCCUGGCUGGGAGAAGAGGAAAGGCAACACUGAGGUGUUAUGUAGCUAAGCAAGAAAGGGUUCACUACCUUCGUGUUUGUGGCUACGACGUUUCCGAGUAUGAAAAGCGUGACAGAAGGAAGAAGCCAGAGGACAGUCCCAACAUGGAGGUUUUAGGAGCUGGGGACUCAACCAAGGAUGCACAAGAGGCAGCACAAGAAAGAACAGACGACGGUUGUAAAGCACAAAACAAUGACUAAGCACACUUUUGGCAGCGAUCGCAACAUCUUUUUGUUGUGGCCUUUCUUAAUUGACUGGGACCAGAUCUCAUGACACGAAGGACUGCUCCCCGCCGAUCCACAGUGCUUCACGUUUGUCAUGUAAAGUUUAUACCUAAAAUAAUUCGGGUAGCACUUUCCUGGCAAGCUCGCCUGCUUUUAAUGGAAGUUUGCAGCAUUAUUUUUUACCACAGAUUAUUUCACUACAAAAGACUGUUUCUAAAAUUCAAAGUUUAAUGCAAAAUUAAUCUGAAUUGACACAUGCAUACAAAAUUUAGUUAUUUAAUUUGAAAUUGAAGCAGAGAAAUUUCACGUGUCCAGUGACGCCAUAACACAAUGAGAGCAGCACUUUUUUUUAAUGUGUACUUGAAGUUGAUGUGACCUUGUCGUCAGAGACAGCUUGUGUGCCUUUUGUCAGCGUAUUAGCACAUGCCAACGCCACCAAAUGUGCAGACUGGCUAGGUGACAGCUAGGCGGCUUUGCCUGACAUUGCCUUACUCUGGUGUGAGGAAGAAAAGCUGCAUAGCUGCCGGAAAAUUGAGUUGGGUUGCGUCAUUUUUAGUUUGGAGAAACAAAGGGCCAGAGAUGUGGAAGUUGGGAGUGAAGCAAGAAAGGUAUCCAGAGAAAACAAGCAUGCUACAAGUUGAAGUGACAGGCAGUGCGCCUUGCACUACUGCCAUUGGACCUUUCAUUUUGAUAUCUUUCGGUUUAUCUGUGCUUGCUGUUAAAUUCAUGCAUUUGUUGAGUUUAAGGAAACUAUGUAGUGUGUGUGCAACCAUUUGAUAUCAUGUCACAUUUGCUGUCAAAAGUCAUCGCUGCGUAUUUCUCUGGUCUGUAAUAAAUGUGCAUUGUUGGAAAGGAUUAAAAUGUUAAACAUUCAUCUCAGUGUUGUGACGGAGGUGAAGUGUUGCCAAGACCCA
rnacentral:misc_RNA from 1 species